rnacentral:rRNA from 1 species
GUCCACGCAGUAAACGAUGAAUACUAACUGUUAGCGAUAUAAUGUUAGCGGUACAGCGAAAGCGUUAAGUAUUCCACCUGGGGAGUACGCCGGCAACGGUGAAACUACAAAGGAAUUGACGGGGGCCCGCACAAGCGGAGGAACAUGUGGUUUAAUUCGAUGAUACGCGAGGAACCUUACCCGGGCUAAAACGUAGCAGGAAUAAAUUGGAAACAGUUUAGCUAGUAAUAGUCUGCUACGAGGUGCUGCAUGGUUGUCGU